CCUUACCAGGGUUUGACAUCCUGCGAAUCUCCUGGAAACGGGAGAGUGCCUUCGGGAACGCAGUGACAGGUGGUGCAUGGCUGUCGUCAGCUCGUGUCGUGAGAUGUUGGGUUAAGUCCCGCAACGAGCGCAACCCACGUCUUUAGUUGCCAGCAUUCAGUUGGGCACUCUAGAGAGACCGCCGGUGAUAAACCGGAGGAAGGUGUGGAUGACGUCAAGUCAUCAUGCCCCUUACAUCCUGGGCUACACACGUACUACAAUGCUACGGACAAAGGGCAGCAAACUCGCGAGAGCUAGCAAAUCCCAUAAACCGUGGCUCAGUUCAGAUCGUAGGCUGCAACUCGCCUACGUGAAGGAGGAAUCGCUAGUAAUCGCAGGUCAGCAUGCGUC
rnacentral:rRNA from 1 species